rnacentral:rRNA from 1 species
GACGAACGCUGGCGGCGUGCCUAAUACAUGCAAGUUGAGCGCUGAAGGUUGGUACUUGUACCAACUGGAUGAGCAGCGAACGGGUGAGUAACGCGUGGGGAAUCUGCCUUUGAGCGGGGGACAACAUUUGGAAACGAAUGCUAAUACCGCAUAAAAACUUUAAACACAAGUUUUAAGUUUGAAAGAUGCAAUUGCAUCACUCAAAGAUGAUCCCGCGUUGUAUUAGCUAGUUGGUGAGGUAAAGGCUCACCAAGGCGAUGAUACAUAGCCGACCUGAGAGGGCGAUCGGCCACAUUGGGACUGAGACACGGCCCAAACUCCUACGGGAGGCAGCAGUAGGGAAUCUUCGGCAAUGGACGAAAGGCUGACCGAGCAACGCCGCGGGAGUGAAGAAGGGUGUCGGAUCGUAAAACUCUGUUGGUAGAGAAGAACGUUGGUGAGAGUGGAAAGCUCAUCAAGUGACGGUAACUACCCAGAAAGGGACGGCUAACUACGUG